UAACCACUGAGCCACCCAGGCACCCCGGUUCUUUACCUUUUUUUUUGUAGGGGGAAGGGAACAGUGAUCUUUUUGAAAGCAGAUGAAAGCUCUGCUCUCACCAGAGACCACAUAUCAUUCUCAGGGUUCAUAGCUCCCUGAAGCCCGCCCUCGCUGCUCAUAGGCUGUCAUGAAAGAACUGAGGCAGAAUUCACAGAGGAAGAGCCUGGGAAGAGCAAGGUGGGCCUGCUCUCAUUCAGGGGGUUUGUGGGGUCCCUGCAGAAGCCACAGCUGGAGGAGCUGGAGCUCUGCCUAUGCAGCUGGGUGGUCCAGGCCCCGGGCCCAGGUCCCCUAGAGACCCUCCUCUGCUUCGGACAAGCUGGGCCCACUUGGAGCCUCAUAGUGUCCUCCGGCCUGAUGCUUCCUCACAACGCAUCAACGGGGCUGCCGGCAGUCCUGGGCCAGGGUGCCUGUGUGCAAGAUAGUUGUCCCAGCACGGAUCUUUGGUGUCCCCACACCAGCUGUGAGUGUUGUCUCUUAAUACCACUGCUUUAGGGUGCGGCAGGUGGGGACACCUCCCUCCACCAUGACCAAACAGGACAGUAGUCCUCUCUUUGGAGCUGCAGGAAAUCCGUGGAACCUGCCUGUCUAUCCCCCACCACCCUGAUGGGCUCGCCUGUCUUGGCCCACUCUGUAGGAAGCAGUGGAACCAAGAGCAAGGUGAUCUCUCUGGCAGCCACCGGGUGACCCGAGGUGACCAGGAAACUACAGGGGUCAGAGAGCCCCUCAUCUUUGCGAAGGGAGAGCCUUGGGCUUCCGGAAAGGAGGUUAGUUUCCUGGGGUGGAGGAAGGGCCCUGACCCGGGCCUUCUUUCCCUUCAUGGGGCAAUGGCCAGGAGUCUGGAGCUCAGAGUGCGAUUCAAGGAGGAAGAACUUGGUGGCAAAGGGGGCAAUGGAUUCCUGAUUUCUUGGCAUCUUGGGAAGGGAGGGGCCUCAGGCCUGAUAAGCCAAAAUGGAAACCGAGCUUUCCUAGAUCCUUAGAACAUCUACCUCCCACCUAAGAGUGGAUGCUGUGGCGUCAGAGAAGGAGAGUCCCUGAGCAGUCCCUGUGCCUCUUCUGGGUGGCAGGUGCCAAGCAUCAGCCAGGCCAACUCCCCAGGCCCCCUAGGCGCCCCCUGUGAGCAGGACUGCAGGCCCAGGCAGACAGGCCCCCCCACCGCCCCCCGCAACUGGUAUUGGGGGCAGGGGAGUGACAGUGGUAACGUCAUGUUCUACCCUGUCAGGACUGGGACAGGUUGAGCCCUGCUGGUUGCACCCCAGCCCUGUGGGGCAGGGGGGUCCCCUCCCAGGGAGUGGCCAACUCAGGCCCCAACAGGCCCCGGCGGGGCUGGCACUGGGGCGGGGGGUAGGCUGUUCACCACAGGGAGCGCGGCGGGGGCCCGGGCUGGGCAGGCCGGUUCCUUCUGCCCUGGAGAGUUGCAGACUCAGCACUCGGCUUGCAGGAGGCAGCUGAACCCGAGGGGAGAGGCCAGAAGGGGCUCCUCGGGGCCGGGCGUGUAAGAUGGCUAAGAGUUACCGAGAGGUCGUGGCAACUUGCGGGUAGGGGAGGCGAGCCGCCGCCUCAGGAAGCCUGGCUCUGCUUGGGGGGCGCUCACCGCGGGCCUCACCGCCGGUGCCCAGAUGUCAGGGACUCUGCUCAGUUCUGCUCAGCCCCGGGAGGGACUGCUGGCGUUCCCAUCUCACAGAUGAGGAAGCUGAGGCUCAGGGACAUCGUGUGGCUGACUCACAGCCCACAGAGUAACGGAUGGUGCUGACAUUCUUUGGACAGAACUGGCAUGCUUCGCAACUGGAUCCUACCACCUACCAGAGCCAGAAACCCAGGGACCAGUGGCGGGGUCGGAACAGAGUGGGGGUCGGGGAUGAGGCCAUUUCCAUGUAUUGCCAGACGCUGGUUAAAAGCUGCCCACGAGGCCUGAAGGCAGUGUUGGUGCUGGCCCCCGUGAAUGCCCUCUGCUGCGGAGGGCGCUGCCCCCGGGAGGCUCCCAGCCCCCAGGAUCUGGAAGUCACUGGCCGAUUUAAAAGCACACACGGUUUGGCUUCGUAUGGACAUCUAGACGGGGAUGACCACGCAGGGUACCUAGAUCAAGCUCUGAGCCUGGAGUGAACGCCCAGCCAAGACCUAAGGUCUAGCGGGCGGGGCUGCAGCCCGCGAGUCAAGUUGAGCCACCUGAGCCGGAGCCCGGAGGACGCCGUCGCUCCCCGCUGUCCGGAGCUCCGCGAUGGGCCGGGGGAGCCGACCGUGCGCCCCACGGGGCGCCCUGCCGCCCCGGCUGCCGCCGCUACUCCUACUGCUCCUGCUGCUGCUGCUGCCGCCGCCGCCGACUCCGGCGCUCGCCCCUCGGAUCAGCCUGCCGCUGGCAAGUCGCAGCAGGAUUCCCGAGCCGCAGCGGGACAGGAGUCCCAUCUUCCCUCCCAGCCCUUCACCCUGGCCUAUCGGCGCUGCCCCGGCCCGAACAUGGUGGGAUCCCUCCGGGGCCCGAGAGCGAUCCUACCAGGGAUGGGGGCUGCUCUGUGACUCCUAGGCCCUGAGAGAGAAUCCUCCUGGGAGUACCAUCCUCAUUGGUGAGGUCCCUCACCUGGUACUCAUGCCUGCUGCUGUGGCCCCUGGCUCUCCCCUGUCCCUACCCCUUUACGUCUUGUUGCGUCUCCAGCUCCUCUUUGAAAUCAGAGGGACCCGGAUUCCAAGCCCAUUUCUACUACUGGGCUAGUAAUUCCCUUCUCCCUGUGCCCUGGUUUGCUCAUCUGCAAAAUGGGCACAGUAGUAGGUACCUUGCAAGGCUGUCUUGGAGAUUUCAUGAAACUAGCUGAGUUCCGUGGGCACAAGCUUUAUAGGGGCUCAGUAGAUGUUGUUUCUCCAAGCCCUUUAACUUGUUGUCACACUGGGAGAAUUAGAAUAAAAGACGUAUGAAUUAGAGGUUACAUAUUGAAAGUAGACCGGACUUCCUUCUCUCUGCUGCAUCCCCACCCCUGAAAACAUUCUGUGUACAAAAGGGAAGAGUAGCAGAAUCAUCACUUAGAUUAACUCAGGGUGCUUGUGGCCCUGAAUAACCCUGUCUGAAACAUUGCAAGACCAUGCUGAGAACAUAGCCUGGGUUCAAAUCCUGCCUCCACCACUUAGUAACCAUGUGACCUUGAGCAAGCUACUUAAC